GUGCGCCGCCACCCCCUGCCCUGCCGCCGCGCACCGGACUGGCGCGCGUGGACAUGGUGCCUGGCGGGGGAGGGGAGUGCCGCACCGCAAGUCUCGCGCCGGCGGUAUGCGCGCUCCUCGAGCGGCUGGAGGCGGCGUGGCUGCUCGACGCAGAAUGAAGGCGGCGGCCGGGGCUUGCAAGGGAUGUAUUCGUGUGCGACAGGGGCUGGGGAGGCGGAUCUGGAGGCGUUUGGCGAGGCGGGGUUCGCCUAUGACGACGAGGAUGGCCGGAGCGCGGCUUCCCGGGAGGAUCCAUAGCAUCUGCGGCUCCAGGACAGAAAGGAGACACGGUGUUGAGGGAGAGAAGAAGGGAGAAAGGAGGGGCGGUGCGGCGACCUAGGCCGGAGCUCACCAGUGUCCGGCAAUGCUACUGCAUCCCUGGUAUUCCUCCUCUCACCUCUCCCGCCUUAACGACAUCGGCACAACCCCCGCACCACUAGCUCGACCUCAUAUUUCCUUCCCAACGCCCGGCACAGCCCGCCCUCCUCUCCAACUUCUGGCAUGGAGAACCCUCCUCUCCGACUUUCGGCCUCUCCCGGACCUCUGGCCGGUGCUGCAGGAUGUACACAAUACCUGCCCUCCAUGCCAUUGCAACUUGCAGCCGCGAAGUCCAUCGCCUUGUCUAGAUCCAGCGGCCAUCUACACGGAUGCACGCCAACUGUUCGGUCAAUUGACCCAACAGAUAGGAGGUAAUUUUCUGUUUUUUUUGGUUCCUUCGGUGUUCCAUCCAGCAGUAAUGUGAAAGUGUUCGUUCAUAUACAUUCUGAUUGAUUAUAUAUUUAGCGUAGAGAAUGGAGAGAAAGAGGAGAUGUUGUCUUCCGCAUGAUACUGAACUAUUGAAGCGACAUGAAGAUGAGCGUAUCGUGCAAGAGUAGAUCCUGGCCACCGUCCUGUGCCUCGGCGACCAGUACGACCACGUCCUUGCGUGCCUCCUCCUGGCUGAUCCGGUGCCAGCAACUGUCAUCUUCCCAAAAUUUAAAUGGACAUUUGGAUGUUCUUAAUUUUCUUUCUUCUGAAAUGAACAUAGCUGUGAGUUUUUUCUUGGGUGGAAUCAAAUUCUGAUGGAAUUUACAAUAUACUCUAUUGUUGUUUUUUAGCUCUUACACAUCUCGACGCCCCACAUCGAGCGCUAAAUCCAGGAAAACAGUCCCGCCCCGCUGCCGCUCCCCAUCGGUCAGCCUUUUUGUUUCUCAUUCAGAGCUCAAGAGUUCAGUAAUAUGAAUUUAUUAUGUGGCUAAUUUUCCAUAUGAUUUUAUUGCUCUUGAAGGGGAUUAGAAGCUUCCUCACUGGCUAGAAUCACAAAGUAUUAAUUUUGCUUUUGGAUAUGUGCAUAUUGCUAUCGGGAUGUUAGAAAGAGAGAACAUAAUAACAGAGAUGUACAGUUUUAAAUUUGCGUUGUAUUUUCUCACCACAUGUUACGCAAAUGACAGUGCACUUUUUUGCACUAGAUGUUAACAUUAUUUGGUAGCCAGUUCCAGGUUUCUUCUUUUUAAUCAAUAUUGCUACUUGCUACUAUUUGUUUGCUCUUACUAUUUCCAUUCUUGAAUAGCCGAUCAGUGUACUACACAAAUGUUGUAACUGAAUCAUUGUUUUCUGAGAUGGCAAUAAAGUCAGAUACUUGUACAAAGUGAUGGACUGUUGAAAUGUGCAUUGCUGUUGUCACUUUUACAAGUUGAAGCCCCAUUCAGAGGCCGUUUUCAUCAGCAGCAUACAGCUGACCACAGGGUGGAACUUGAUAACACUGUUGAUUAUUGGUUGCUAUAGAAAUUCUAGGAAAGCUAAUUCUGGGAGUGAACCAUGAAUAUUACGGGGGUCAGAUUAAAUGAAUGUUGUGUGCUAACAUGGUGCACCGCUGGAGAUGUAUUUAGUAUUCGCUUCUUGAACUUAGCACUUGGAAAGUUAGUUGACACAUAUCUAUGAUAAUAUAAGAAGUAAUAAUUAUCUCACAAUAGGAAGAAGUAAGCCCUGUUGCCGGUGGACUACUGGACGUCGAUAUAUCGAUACGGUCUCCUACAACCGCUGUAGAGGAGCGAAAACUUGCAGCAGCAUCUCCGACACCCUCCUGACCAUGACCACUUCGUUGACAAGAAAGAUUGAAAUGUUUGCUUCUAGAUACUCAAGCAUGGGUGGCAGCAUGGAUUUAUUUACGAAGGGUGGUAGACACAACCAUGAGGUGUGCACACACAUUUACCUGCAUUCUUAUCUUGACCAUGGGAGCCAAUUCUAAUACAUGCCAACAGUAGAGAAAUGUAUGAUCAUGAGAGAAAGGAGUAAGCCUAUAGAAUUUGUGACUAUGUAUAAGGGCUCUUCACCAAGUGUGUGCACUGUACUUUAUGGAUUUUAUUUGUGAAUUUUUCCAUGAUAUGUUGCACAAAGUCGCAGAAUGUAAACAUGAACAAAUUAAUGUUUUGGAUGGAUUCUCUGA